GCAGUGGCUUAGUGGGAUGGCUUUGCAUGCAGAAUAUCCCAGGUUCAAUUCCUGGCAUCUGCA
rnacentral:tRNA from 1 species